UCAGUAACGGCGAGUGAAGCGGUAACAGCUCAAAUUUGAAAUCUGGCCUCACGGUCCGAGUUGUAAUUUGUAGAGGAUGCUUCGAGCAUGGUCUGGCCUAAGUUCCUUGGAACAGGACGUCAUAGAGGGUGAGAAUCCCGUAUGCGGCCAGGUGCCUACGCUCAUGUGAAGCUCCUUCGACGAGUCGAGUUGUUUGGGAAUGCAGCUCAAAAUGGGUGGUAAAUUUCAUCUAAAGCUAAAUAUUGGCCAGAGACCGAUAGCGCACAAGUAGAGUGAUCGAAAGAUGAAAAGCACUUUGGAAAGAGAGUUAAACAGUACGUGAAAUUGUUGAAAGGGAAGCGCUUGCAACCAGACUUGCGCGCGGCUGAUCAUCCGGUGUUCUCACCGGUGCACUCGGCCGUGCUCAGGCCAGCAUCGGUUUUGGCGGCUGGAUAAAGGCCCUAGGAAUGUGGCUCCUCUCGGGGAGUGUUAUAGCCUAGGGUGCAAUGCAGCCUGCUGGGACCGAGGACCGCGCUUCGGCUAGGAUGCUGGCGUAAUGGUUGUAAGCGGCCCGUCUUGAAACACGGACCAAGGAGUCUAACAUCUAUGCGAGUGUUUGGGUGUCAAACCCAUACGCGUAAUGAAAGUGAACGGAGGUGAGAACCCUUAAGGGUGCAUCAUCGACCGAUCCUGAUGUCUUCGGAAGGAUUUGAGUAAGAGCAUAGCUGUUGGGACCCGAAAGAUGGUGAA
rnacentral:rRNA from 1 species